rnacentral:misc_RNA from 1 species
CAAGAAAGCAGUAUGAUGGCUCCGAGGAGGCCGAUCCACGCUGUGUCAACAUGGGUUAAACGGCAACCGCCAAAGGUAAAGGCUUUUCUGGCAGUGGUCACCGGAAUGACAGUUCUGGUGCUGCUACGUGCCAUUGUUCACGAUCACGACAACCUUUUCGUCGCCGCCGAGGCUGUUCACGCCAUCGGAAUAUCCGUUCUUAUCUAUAAGCUCACCAAAGAGAAAACUUGUGCUGGGAUUUCACUCAAAUCCCAGG